rnacentral:rRNA from 1 species
CGGGGUGAGUAACGCGUGGAUAACCUGCCUCACACAGGGGGAUAACAGUUAGAAAUGACUGCUAAUACCGCAUAAGACCACAGUACUGCAUGGUACAGUGGUAAAAACUCCGGUGGUAUGAGAUGGACCCGCGUCUGAUUAGGUAGUUGGUGAGGUAACGGCCCACCAAGCCGACGAUCAGUAGCCGACCUGAGAGGGUGACCGGCCACAUUGGGACUGAGACACGGCCCAG